rnacentral:rRNA from 1 species
UACAGAGGGGGCAAGCGUUAUUCGGAAAUUUAUUGGGCGUAAAAGGGCGCGUAGGCGGCUUUUGCAAGUGACGGGUGAAAUCCCCCCGGCUUAACCGAGGAACUGCCUGUCAAACUGCAUGGCUUGAGACCGGGGAGAGGUGGAGUGGGAAAUUCCCCAGUGUAGCGGUGAAAUGCGUAGAUAUUGGGAGAACACCAGUGGCGAAGGCGGCUCACUGGACCGGUACUGGACGCUGAUGCGCGAAAGCGUGGGGAGCAACAGGGAUUAAG